GUAUAGAACUGACUCGAUAUGAUAUGUAUGCUUGCAUGUAAACAGGGCAUGAUUGCUUUAUAGGUAUAGUUGGACCUACAUGUGAAUUGGUAAGCUAUGCAUUAAAAAUAUCACCAUUAACAUAUCCCAUAUUGGUCAAUAAGAGAGAUUACAUCAGCUUAAGACAAAUGUUUAGAUUCAAUGAAGUAGGCUUAUAAUGUGAAUAUGCCUCACUGAAUUGGAUACUAAAUCAUUUGCUUUGAUCAUGACAUGCUCAUUAAGAUACUAACAAUUCUUAUGUAACAGUGGAUCCAGCAUAUUUUUUUGUUGGGAAAUGCUUAUCUUGGAUCUUGCAUUAUGAAGUUGAAUAAAUAACAUUUGAACUGACUGAUGCAGAUGAUAGUUUCUUGGUCUAAGUGGACAGACUUUUCUCGGGUUAAUCCAAACUCAACUGAACUUGCAAUUCAUGGACUUAGCCGAGGACGCAUUAAAUUGGAACUCUGCUGUUCGCAACUAUUGGUCUCUUCUUUCACCUCUGAUUUUCUCGGAUCAUCCAAAGAGGCCUGGUGAUGAGGAUCCCUCUCCACCUUUUAACAUGCUCAGAAAUGUGCUUGACAUGAAUGCUCGAUUAGGCGGGUUCUAUGCUGCACUGUUAAAUGCAGGAAAAUCUGUUUGGGUUAUUAAUGUUGUUCCCACAAGUGGUCCAAAUUAUGUCCCUCUCAUCCUUGACAGGGGAUUUAUUUCAGCACGACUGAAAUCCAUCUUUAUUCCUGAAACAUAAGAGUUCACUUGUGACCAGCAUAGGGCUGAUAAGUCGGAAGGUUCAAUUGACAUAUAAAUGCGGAACAUUGUUAACUUAGAUAUGGACCUAUAAAGGAGACUUUGGUGUGGAGCUCAAGAUUCUGAGAUUAGGAUCAUUCUUCUGAGUUCUAGGAAAGAAGUUCAGGGACAAUCAUCUGCAUGUUUUGUUGUUUAGUGUACUUUCAUCAUGUAUUAUAAACUGAAAUAAUACAUGAUUGCUCUAUUAUUGAGCAAAAUUCAUAACUAGCUGUAAAUAGUUGGACAAGCUUAGUUGCUAUGUAAUUUUUCUUAUUAAACUAGUGAAAGAACCAAUGCACACAUGUUGACCCGUACAGAUGGGAACAUCUUGGAUGCAUCUGUGCAUCAUAUAGUUUCAGAAGUUGUUGCCUAUUGAAAUUGAUUUUGACCUUCAUGUUGAUGAAAACAUGAUUUUAUCCCUUGAGAUAUUAAAUUCCAUAGUGCAAAUCAAUGUUUAAGCUUUUCAUUUGGAAUUACCUCUCUGAUUUGCUGCAGCAAAAGCUAUGCACUUUAUUUUGGUCCCUUCAUGCGCAGUUUAUUUUGUACAAACCAGUAGAAUCACUAUAGUCCUUAAAAACAUAUGGUUGCACACUUGGAUUGGCUCAGUCCAAAUUCUGCUGCUUGGACUGCUGAAAUUGAGCCUGCCAUGUCAGUGCGUGCGGAUCACCCAAAUUCUUGGAAAAUGAAGCUGCGACGCUAAUUAAGUAUGGUUUUCAGUUCCUGCUGAUGGAAACCAAUGCCCAACUGUGGUACAUAGUAGGGGAGUAUAUCUCAUCUUCUGAGGAUUGUGGCGUGGACCCCACAGAUCUGAUAUCGUUUCUUCUUGAGCUUAGUUUUCAUACCAUGGGCAAGGGAUGCAUGUGCAGACAUUGACUAGUAUUUGGACAAACUGUAACAGUGGGUGAUUCUAGAUCAAGUUCAAAAGAGAAGAGAUCAUUUGAGGUACAGAAAUGAUGAAAGCCAAGAUUGAGAUUGAUACUGACAGGUUCCUAGUGAGUAUUUGACAUUGAGGAACAAGUUUUUGGAAACAAAUAGAGAAUAUAGUCUUUGAUCGAGAAGUUUCAUGUUUUGUAAUCAAAUGUUGAAGUACAUUGUUUGAAUGUUAGUUCGGUACGAUAUUUUCUGAGUUGAAAUGUUGGUAGUGUGGAUUUAAUACUUUGUAGUUUUUAUACUAUACUGAUGUAUGUUGGCACUUAUCAUUAUGGUUGAUUAUGCUCAACAUAAUCACUUUUAUAUUGUGUAUUAAAA